rnacentral:rRNA from 1 species
UACGAAGGGUGCAAGCGUUAAUCGGAAUUACUGGGCGUAAAGGGUGCGUGGGCGGUUCGUUAAGUCUGUCGUGAAAUCCCCGGGCUCAACCUGGGAAUGGCGAUGGAUACUGGCGAGCUAGAGUGUGUCAGAGGAUGGUGGAAUUCCCGGUGUAGCGGUGAAAUGCGUAGAGAUCGGGAGGAACAUCAGUGGCGAAGGCGGCCAUCUGGGACAACACUGACGCUGAAGCACGAAAGCGUGGGGAGCAAACAGG